rnacentral:misc_RNA from 1 species
AGCAGCCGCGGUAAUUCCAGCUCCAAUAGCGUAUAUUAAAGUUGUUGCAGUUAAAAAGCUCGUAGUUGAAUUUCGGGGUUAGUAGGUUGGUCAUGCCUCUGGUAUGUACUGGUCUCACUGAUUCCUCCUUCCUGAUGAACCUUAAUGCCAUUAAUUUGGUGUUUUGGGGAAUUUGGACUGUUACUUUGAAAAAUUAGAGUGUUUAAAGCAAGCUAACGCUUGAAUACAUUAGCAUGGAAUAAUGAAAUAGGACGUUCGAUCCUAUUUUGUUGGUUUCUAGGAUUGACGUAAUGAUUAAUAGGGAUAGUUGGGGGCAUUAGUAUUCAAUUGUCAGAGGUGAAAUUCUUGGAUUUAUUGAAGACUAACUACUGCGAAAGCAUUUGCCAAGGAUGUUUUCAUUAAUCAAGAACGAAAGUUAGGGGAUCGAAGACGAUCAGAUACCGUCGUAGUCUUAACCAUAAACUAUGCCGACUAGGGAUCGGAUGAUGUUAAUUUUUAAUGACUCAUUCGG